UCGAGAAUCUUCGGCAAUGGGCGCAAGCCUGACCGAGCGACGCCGCGUGCGGGAUGAAGGCCUUCGGGUUGUAAACCGCUGUCGUAGGGGAGGAAGCGACCGUGAAGAACGGAAGUUGACCGAUCCUAGGAGGAAGCGCCGGCUAAUCUCGUGCCAGCAGCCGCGGUAAUACGAGAGGCGCAAACGUUAUUCGGAUUUACUGGGCUUAAAGAGUUCGUAGGCGGCGCAGAAAGUAGGGUGUGAAAGCCCUCGGCUCAACCGAGGAAUUGCGCUCUAAACUACUGUGCUCGAGGGACCUAGAGGUGAGCGGAACUGAUGGUGGAGCGGUGAAAUGCGUUGAUAUCAUCAGGAACACCGGAGGCGAAGGCGGCUCACUGGGGGUCUUCUGACGCUGAGGAACGAAAGCCAGGGGAGCGAACGG
rnacentral:rRNA from 1 species